rnacentral:rRNA from 1 species
AUUGAACGCUGGCGGAAUGCUUUACACACGCAAGUCGAACGGCAGCACGGGGGCAACCCUGGUGGCGAGUGGCGAACGGGUGAGUAAUACAUCGGAACGUGCCCAGUCGUGGGGGAUCACGUAGCGAAAGUUACGCUAAUACCGCAUACGAUCUACGGAUGAAAGCGGGGGACCGUAAGGCCUCGCGCGCUUGGAGCGGCCGAUGUCAGAUUAGGUAGUUGGUGAGGCAAAGGCUCACCAAGCCGACGAUCUGUAGCUGGUCUGAGAGGACGACCAGCCACACUGGGACUGAGACACGGCCCAGACUCCUACGGGAGGCAGCAGUGGGGAAUUUUGGACAAUGGGCGCAAGCCUGAUCCAGCCAUUCCGCGUGCAGGACGAAGGCCUUCGGGUUGUAAACUGCUUUUGUACGGAACGAAAAGGCUCUGGUUAAUACCUGGGGCUCAUGACGGUACCGUAAGAAUAAGCACCGGCUAACUACGUGCCAGCAGCCGCCGUAA